UGAGGAAUAUUGGUCAAUGGCCGUAAGGCUGAACCAGCCAAGUAGCGUGCAGGAUGACGGCCCUAUGGGUUGUAAACUGCUUUUAAACGGGGAUAAAGUGAGCCACGUGUGGUUUAUUGCAGGUACCGUUUGAAUAAGGACCGGCUAAUUCCGUGCCAGCAGCCGCGGUAAUACGGAAGGUCCGGGCGUUAUCCGGAUUUCUUGGGUUUACAGGGAGCGUAGGCGGAGCGUCGAGCCAGCAGUGAAAUGUAGCGGCCCAACCGCUGCACUGCUGUUGGAACUGGCGGCCUGGAGUGCACACGAGGCAUGCGGAAUUUGUGGUGUAGCGGUGAAAUGCUUAGAUAUCACGAAGAACUCCGAUUGCGAAGGCAGCGUGCCGGAGUGCAACUGACGCUGAAGCUCGAAAGUGCGGGUAUCGAACA
rnacentral:rRNA from 1 species